GUGGAUUAGAUACCCUGGUAGUCCACGCCGUAAACUAUGGAUGCUAGCUGUUAGAAGUAUCGACCCUUCUAGUAGCGAAGCUAACGCGUUAAGCAUCCCGCCUGUGGAGUACGAGCGCAAGCUUAAAACAUAAAGGAAUUGACGGGGACCCGCACAAGCGGUGGAGCGUGUUGUUUAAUUCGACGAUAAGCGAAGAACCUUACCAGGGCUUGACAUCCUGCGAAUUUCUCCGAAAGGAGAAAGUGCUUUAUUGAGCGCAGUGACAGGUGUUGCACGGCCGUCGACAGCU
rnacentral:rRNA from 1 species